rfam:Mycobacterium celatum strain DSM 44243 contig_34, whole genome shotgun sequence.
GCAUGCCCGUGCACCGUGGCCCUUGCCCGAACCGACCCUGACGUACUUCCCCAACGCCAGGUUCGUGCUCUCGGACAGGGACCUCGGUGUGCGGUCGAUCGCAA